ensembl:lncRNA
CAGGAACUACCCUUCUCUCUCUAACACCAGGUGCCCCUCGAACCCUCGCACCCUCCCUCAGCACAGCACCCUCGCUCCGGCGUCUCAGCCCUCCAAAACCCAGGAUCCUACCCUCCUUCCCGACUCCUCCUAACCCUGCCCCAGUCUCAAGACAAAUACCCCGAAAGGAGGGGCCGCCUGCGUGUGGCUAUUCACCUGGCUCUGCAGAAGUCCCCUCUGGCUGGGGAAGGAAGAGGUGGGCAGGCGGGCAGCUGCUGCCUGGGGCUGAGGCCUCAGUGGGUGUGAGAGAUGACAGGAAGAUGCUACAUUUGAAGUUGCCACAAAUAGGAAGAGGGGGGCAGGCAGGCAGGCUGGGGCCUUGCGAGACCUGACAAGGGGGAGCCUCCCACCAGCCUUUACCUACCUGUGGCAACUCUCCAGGCCAAUGUGAUUUCUGGACCGCCAUGAACUGGGGCUUCUGGAAUUUCAGUAUGUGGGAGCAGGGUGGGAUGAGGGUUGCUAUCUCUGGUUCUCGGGGAACCUAGAUGGCUGAACAGUAGAUGGACAGAGGGCUCAAAGGCUGGAGCUGGAGUCCUUCUGGGGACAGGGGCCCAGCUGAGACAGAGAUGGGCAGUGAUGAUGACAAGGAAGACAGUGGUGGUGAUGGUAGGGACAGGAACAGGCAGAGACAAGAGCAGGCAGCAUAGGAUACAGGGUGAGACAGAGAAGAGAGCAGGAACCUGAUCUCACAGAGCAGAGGCCCAGGAGGCAGCAAACACAUCUUCCUCCUCAUUGUCCCAUCUUUGCUCUCCCUAUCCUGGGAUAUCCUUUCUCUAAUCCAGAGAGAGCACUGAGGACCCAACAGGACAAGAGAUAAUCCAAGGACACAGUAAAAUGCUUGUAAGGCAUGACUAGGUAUCAAAAGGGAGGUCUCUUAGGCCAGGAAGCUGCUUUUUAGAGGGAGCAAUUGCAUUAUUCCUGUGAGCAGGAGAAGAUGCAACACCCCUGGGGCCUCACAGAAAUUCUGCCCAGUUGAUGUGUCCACAUUGCACAGUGUCUGGCCCAGUGUGACACAGCCCCAACCCGUCAUCAAACUCCACCCCAGCCAUGCCACCCAUGUGGCCUGGGACACACAGGGACAUCUCAGACUUUUCACCAUGGGCCAGGGGCAUAUUAUUGAAGUUUCUCUACCAGCUCAGCCUCUGGCUAGUACUCACCUCUGCUGUGGCCUCCAUCUCCUCCUGUCAUAAUUAUUUGCCCACGUAACUGACCCCUAUGUGACUGUGAGUGUCUCAAGGACAGGGACUACUGUCUAUUCAUUUUUGUUUCUCAUGUAGACAUUUAUUAGGGUUUUUGGGUGCCCAGCAUCUGGAAGCUUUUUCCCCACAGGAGUCUGGAGGGAGGUAGAAAGCAGCUCCCACUAUAAAUGCCAAAAUGGCCACAUGUUUGAUUCCAAUCUGCCUGCCCCAGGACAUGAUAUGGACACAUGAAAAGGACCAGGUCAAUUGGAUGCCCUCAUCCAGACUGUGACUCAGAAGCCAGCCCAGAGGUGGCGGGUCAGUGGAGACUCCAUAUUGCAAAUGGUGCCACAUCAGCUUCCAGGGUGGCAGAAGAGAGAAGUGUUCAGAGGGGGUUGCAGAGCCCUCUCUGUGUUGGUCCUGGGGCUCCAAGCCCCUGUUGACCCAGCUUGUUCUCCAAGCCUGGCUCUGCAGCUCUCACAGACCUUCUGUGUGCUUCCCCAACAUCUUUUAAGUGAAUUCCUUUUCUCCUUAAAUCCUCCUGAAAUGGUUUCUGUAGCUUACAACCAAGAAUCCUGCAUUAUGCAUGCCCCGAAUAGAAGAUGAAACAACAGGGCUCAGGCUGGAAUAUUCCAAGAAUCAGGGUAGAUAGCUACCUUUACAAAGAGCUUACUAUGUGCCUGGCCCUGUGCUAGGGGCUGCAUAAGCUUUAUCUCAUUUAAUCUUCACAAUAAGCCUGUGUGGUUGGUUUUAUCAUCUGCAUGAUGAAGGAACAGAAGCUAAGAGAGAGUAAGCAAUUCACCCAGGCAUACAGCAAGUAGCCAAGAACUCUCUAGUGCUAAUCGUCAGAUUCCACUGUCUCUUGGCCAUGUCAGCCCACCUGCUCUGCUUCAUUUCUGCCCCUCAUGCUCCCUACCAACGUGUGUUCACAGUGCCCAGAUGGCCCUCCCCAGCCUUGCUGCCCUUUCCCAGCUGCCCUCUUAGUAUCCUUAAGAUUAGUGGAGGAGCUCCUCCUAUGGCACCCCUUGCUCUCUUGGUCCACAAAACUCCACUCCCCAAAAGCUAGAGCCCUGUCUGUCUCUCAGGCCACUAGCCCGCCUCUCCUACUGUCUUGCUGGAAUCACAAGGGAGCAAGAGUCUCGCUGGGCACCCACAGAAUAACCCGCUCACAUCUCUGAUGAGGAUUCACACACACCUUUGGCUUCCAUCUGCCAACUCCAUCCCCUCCUGGCAUCACACUCUGCUCCCAACUCUCAGAAAAGUCUGUACAACCUCUUGGUUAAACAAAAAAGGAAAUGACCUUGGAGAUGUCCAGGUCUUCAAUCUCUGAAAGGCCUGGCUAGGAAUGUCCUGGGUGGUGUGCCGAGAACACAGUCACUCAAGUUCCUACCCAAAACAGCCUCUACCUGCCAACCCCUUCUCCCAUCUCCUAGGCCCUGCCAGGUCCUCUGUCCUGUCAACCCCCAAGUCCAUUGUGAUGUCACCAGCCUAACUCUGACGUCACUAUGUCCCACGUCUCCUGGAGAGUAGUACAGGGGUAGGACCGUGGCCUCCUAACCCAGGAUGCAGAUGAGAGACCCAAGCCAAGGUAAGAGAUGCAGUAGAAAAGUGACUGGCUCAAGAUCACAUGACCCAAGUUGAGGCUGCGACCUCCCAGAGGGGAAGGAGAGCUCAGGGAAGAAUCGCGGGAGGGAAAGCUGGGAAGAGGUAAAAAGGGCCGCAGAGGUGGAGCGGCAGAGUCUGGAUUCCCUUCAGGCACUGAAGAAGCCCCAGAAAAAUCAGGAUUGUCAGAGGCCCAAGUUAAGGACUGGGAAAAUAAACUGUGGAAUUAGCAUCCGGCACCCUGGAAGAACCCCAA